GGACAUACACUGCAUAAAAUGUCUGACAUUAUCCAUUGUCGUGCCCUCAUGACAGAGGAUGAAGCCCCAAUCAAGUCCACUGAUGGGUUCAAGAAGUUGUAUGUCUCCAAAUGGUCCGAGAUGGUGUCUCACCGUGCCUUGAACACACUGAGCGAGGCAAAGUUUAACAAGCCAUCAACAUUGCCCUUUACAGAAGAUGUUCGGAUUCUCCAUCACUACCUUCAAAAAUCUGCAGAAAGUGCCUUUUGCAGCUUGGAGAACGAAGCCACAGCUCAGAAUUAUGCCCAACUUGCACAAGUUACACUCUCACAGAUCAUUGUGUUCAAUCGAAGACGUUCUGGAGAGGUUUCAAAGAUGCGCCUCAAAAGUUUUCUUGAAAGAGACAAAACAGCACUCCACACAGAUGUUGCCAUGGGGCUUUCAGAAAUGGAACAGAGACUCUGUAACUAUUUCUGUAGAAUAGAAAUAAUGGGAAAAAGGGACAGAAAUGUUCCAGUUCUGCUAACACCAAGCAUGCUGGAUGCUCUGUCACUACUGGUUAGUAGGAGGCCUGACUGUGGUAUUUGUGCCACUAAUAUCUACCUCUUUGCAAGACCCCGAUCAAUGAGUCAUUACAGAGGAAUGGACUCCUUGCGUGUUCAUGCAUACCAGUGUGGAGCAAAGCACCCUGAGUAUCUAAGAUCGACACAGCUCAGAAAACAUGUUGCCACACUCUCACAAGUCCUUAAUUUGAAAACAAUGAACUUGAUCAGGUUGCAGAUUUCCUGGGUCAUGAUAUUCGCGUUCACCGCGAAUUCUACAGAUUACCAGUUCCCACAACACAGCUGGCCAAGAUUUCCAAACUGCUUUUAACACUGGAAAAAGGACAUCUUUCCCAGAUCCAGGGGAAAUCACUGGAUGAGAUCGAAAUUGAAGAUGAAAUUGCAUUAAGUGAUGCUGAAACAAAGGACAGUGAGAGUGAAUCAGAUGAUGACACAGCACUCACAAUGUCAGCGUGUGGCACCAGUGAGCCUGUACAUGCAGUAGCUGAUUCCACAAACACAGCGCAGCUACAAGACGCUGUAGAUUGUGCAGAUGAAGAACCACUCAUAAUGCCUGCAGC